GACGAACGCUGGCGGCGUGCCUAAUACAUGCAAGUCGAACGAACCGCGACUAAGUGCUUGCACUAAGUCAAGGUGAGUGGCGAACGGGUGAGUAACACGUGGGUAACCUACCUCAUAGUGGGGGAUAACAGUCGGAAACGACUGCUAAUACCGCAUAGGACAUAGGAUCACAUGAUCCAGUGAGGAAAGGUGGCGCAAGCUAUCGCUAAGAGAUGGACCCGCGGUGCAUUAGCUAGUUGGUAGGGUAAAGGCCUACCAAGGCGAUGAUGCAUAGCCGACCUGAGAGGGUGGUCGGCCACAUUGGGACUGAGACACGGCCCAAACUCCUACGGGAGGCAGCAGUAGGGAAUCUUCCGCAAUGGACGCAAGUCCGACGGAGCAACGCCGCGUGAGUGAAGAAGGUCUUCGGAUCGUAAAGCUCUGUUGUUAGAGAAGAACAGCGCAUAGAGUAACUGCUAUGCGUGUGACGGUAGCUAACCAGAAAGCCACGGCUAACUACGUG
rnacentral:rRNA from 1 species